UGUUUUGUCACGAAAUUGCCAAAGGGGGAGAUUGUUAGGUCCUAUGUGUUGGCAAGUUUCGUGGGUCGAGUCGGAGUCUUGAAGAAGUUCGGAGCGGAGUAUUGAAGAUCGAAGAAUCCAAGACUUCGAAGAAUCGGAAAGGACGCAAAACACGUAAAACAUGAAUCACGAUGCGUAGGUAAGCUUUAAAUCUUGUUUAUGGUGAUUCAUACUUAAUUAUAGAUCUUAGAAUCAUGUUUUCAAGUUGUAAUUGAUUAGAAAGUUUCUAAGAGUUUGUAAAAUCCAAAACAAUGCAUUUUCAGCGAAAAUUGCAUUGCUGUACCGGUACAAGGGUUUUCUGUCCAGGGUACAGCCAUCAACGUUGCGCAGAAAGUUUGAUGGUUGUUCCGGUACAAGCUUCAUGCUGUACCGGUACAAGCCCUGUUCCGGAACAAGCUGAAGCUAUCCAGGGUACAGGAGCUUCGCAGAAAAAUCUUCCGUCAUGGUGUACCCUGGACAACAUUCCUUGUUCCGGUACAAGGUGCUGUUUUUGGAAAGAAACUUUCUAAUUCGACUCCAAUUGAUUCUAAAGUCUAUAAAUAAGCUAUAGGGGUUCUCUAAUUGAUCAAGCAUCAUAAGAAUACAUGUUUGAGAAACCCUAGAGGCUCGGAUUUCAUUCUAAACCUAUUUUCUACAAAUUAGCCUCUUUAGAUCAAAUCGAGAUAUCGUUUCGCAUUCUCUAUAUGUCGAUUUGAUCUCCGCUUCGCUUGGAGUUCUAUUCCCUGGUUUUCUACGAUACUCCUAAGCGAAGGAUCACCAUAAUCAUGAUGCUCUUCAUGAACGGC
rnacentral:lncRNA from 1 species